UUGCAAUUGAUCACUUUCAAUUCUAGCUUCUCUGAUAAUUCAGAGAUUUCUUUCUAGGGCAGAAAGCUAAACAUGGGACCUUUGUUUUUUGGAUCAAGCCACCAACAUGGUGAUCUCCACCAAUGGCCAGGCUCUAACUCAUGUGCCAGCGACAAGUUCACUCGGACAAGGCUUCAGAUGCUGCCGCUUAAACGCUGUGACACGUCCCGGCUGCUAGGACUAUUCAGCUGAUGUCCAACCAGUUUGGAGAAUCAAUGCGCUGCUAUGAGUCAAUUAAGCACCCAAAUGAUACUUACCAGAAUGGUGGAAAAUACGACGCCAAGUAUCAGCCGAUGGGUUAGUGAUUUGUUUCUUUACAACUAGUGCCAGGCUACGUUAAGUUCCAUGCUUGAAUACAAUGGAGGGAUUAUUGGUUUACAAGCCGCAUAGGGUCGGAUACUUUAUAUUACGCUUUGCAGAAACGCAAUUCUAUCCUUUUCCAAAGGGUAAAACGCAAGGAGAUAUCAUUACCUGAUACCGAUGUUUGAAAUCGCUUUUCUUCCCAUCUUUUCUGUCUUGGGAGAGAUGACGGGAGCUCCUGUCCCUAGUCCUGCUAGCUGUUGGCACCAGCGGAGAUUUCUCAGGCAACUCUGGCCGUCUGAACUCAGUUCAAAGCCCCACAGGUUUCAGCGCACAACGAGGGAAGCUGGAUCAGAAGCUCAGGUCAGAACGGCAGAGGAAGCAGUUCCUGUUGAUUAAGGUGGUAGUUGCUUUAGGAUUGAAGACAUCACUCUGGAAAGUUUACCGCAGUGGCAGUUAAUUAAAAAUAAGUAAAUAAUAACAUUAGUUGACUCUUCCUAUCUACGCAUCUUACUCAGCUAAAGAAAUCCGGUCACUGAAUUAGUCAGUGGUGGUACAGGAACACACAUCUCCAUUGUCGCAGAGCAGGCUAAAGGUUUUAAUAAUCACUGCUUUUAACGUCCUUCUUCAAUGCCGGAGACUUUUUAACUCGUUUUUCCAAAAGGCAAGGAAAUUCCUUGCAUUUUUCUUUCGCUGUUUCCCUGCAGAAUCACAUCUAUGCGAGUUCUGUGGCAAACUGGCCGGAACAAGUGUUGCCACGGCCAACUCUCCACAUAUUUUAU